GAACGCUGGCGGCGUGCCUAAUACAUGCAAGUCGAGCGCAGGAAAUCGACGGAACCCUUCGGGGGGAAGUCGACGGAAUGAGCGGCGGACGGGUGAGUAACACGUAAAGAACCUGCCCUCAGGUCUGGGAUAACCACGAGAAAUCGGGGCUAAUACCGGAUGGGUCAUCGGACCGCAUGGUCCGAGGAUGAAAGGCGCUUCGGCGUCGCCUGGGGAUGGCUUUGCGGUGCAUUAGCUAGUUGGUGGGGUAAUGGCCCACCAAGGCGACGAUGCAUAGCCGACCUGAGAGG
rnacentral:rRNA from 1 species